CUACAAACCCGUGCUUCUGCUCGGAAGGAAAAAGAAGGAGCACACGAAGUGUGACAUCCUCAUACCUCGCUGCAGUCUUACUGCAUUUGCGAAGGACCACCUUCAAAGAAUAGGCUCAGUCUAUGAGUACCUUUGUGAAGGUUGGACCCAGGAGCCAAUUGAUGGGGAAGAGGAAGUAACGCUGCUACUCACACCCUGUGACCCACUGGAAGGAACCAGCAUGCAGCAGGAGCAUGAGAGGAACACAGUAGGGCAAGUGACAGAGACAGAUGUCACCAGGGAUGAGCCGACACCCAUGCAAGUGAAGGAGGAAGAAGAACCCAUAGAAGGGCAGAUGGAGUGGGCGAACACUGUGGACGGACAGCCAGACCAGACAAAUACAUCGGGGGAGCGUUUGGAGAAAGUGGAGGAGCAAGUGGACACAGUGGAGGACACAGUGGACAGACAAGUGGAUGCAGUGGAGGGACAGGCUGUCUCCAGUGGAGCAACCCUUAAUCUUGGGCAAAAGAGGAAAAAUUCAGUGGCAACAAGGCGCAUCCCAGAGAGGAGGAAGAUACAAAAAGAUUGCUCCCACCAUACACGCCUUGAGAGUUUCCCAAUCAAGGCAAUAAAGAAAGAGUGAGUGAGAAAGGGCAAAACAGAGAUUCUGGUGGAGUGGGAGCCCUGUCCAGUUUGUGGCAAGGAGUGGGCCUAUUCCUGGCAGCCAAAGGAUUCUCUGCAAAAUACUCCUUAAUAAAAAUGUUUACUGUGAA